UACAACGUUUGACUCUUCCUCUUAUUAAAAAUUUUUAUGAUUAAUAUUUUUCUAAUUAUUAGAUGAUAGAACAUGAAUAAUACUUUAUGUGUAACUAAAUUUUUUGAAAAAAAUUAUAAAUUUUUUAAAUAAGAUGGAUGGUCAAACAUAGGACAC
rnacentral:pre_miRNA from 1 species